GAUGAACGCUAGCGAUAGGCCUAACACAUGCAAGUCGAGGGGCAGCACAUGAGUAGCAAUACGAUGGUGGCGACCGGCGCACGGGUGAGUAACGCGUAUGCAACCUACCUGUUACAGGGGAAUAACCCGGAGAAAUCCGGACUAAUACCGCAUAACACUACGAUAUCGCAUGGUAUUGUAGUUAAAGAUUUAUUGGUAACAGAUGGGCAUGCGUGACAUUAGCUAGUUGGGGAGGUAACGGCUCACCAAGGCAACGAUGUCUAGGGGUUCUGAGAGGAAGGCCCCCCACACUGGUACUGAGACACGGACCAGACUCCUACGGGAGGCAGCAGUGAGGAAUAUUGGUCAAUGGGCGAGAGCCUGAACCAGCCAAAUCGCGUGCAGGAUGACUGCCUUAUGGGUUGUAAACUGCUUUUGUAAAGGAAUAACAACUCUCACGAGUGAGAGGAUGAAUGUACUUUAAGAAUAAGGAUCGGCUAACUCCGUGCCAGCCGCCGCAGUAAAAC
rnacentral:rRNA from 1 species